rnacentral:rRNA from 1 species
GACGAACGCUGGCGGCGCGCCUAACACAUGCAAGUCGAACGGAGUCAAGAGGAGCUUGCUUUUCUUGACUUAGUGGCGAACGGGUGAGUAACGCGUGAGUAACCUGCCCUGGCGUGGGGGACAACAGUUGGAAACGACUGCUAAUACCGCAUAAGCCCACGGAUCUGCAUGGAUCUGCGGGAAAAGGAUUUAUUCGCUCUGGAAUGGACUCGCGUCCAAUUAGUUAGUGGGUGAGGUAAGGGCCCCCAAAGGCGACGAUUGGUAGCCGGACGGGGAGGUGGACCGGCCCCAUUGGAACGGGGCACCGGCCCGGCUUCCACGGGAGGGCAGCAUUGGGGGAUAUUGCCCAAUGGGGGAAACCCGGACGCGGCGACGCGGGGGGGAGGAAGAAGGUUUUGGGUUGGUAAGCUCCUGUCGCUAGGGACGAUAAGGACGGAACCGAACAAGAAAGCACCACCUACCUCCGU